AGAACGAACGCUGGCGGCGUGGAUAAGACAUGCAAGUCGAGCGGGAUUUCCUUUAGUAGCAAUACCGAAGGAAGUCUAGCGGCGAACGGGUGAGUAACACGUGAGCAACCUGCCCUUGGCUCUGGGAUAGCCUCCGGAAACGGGGAUUAAUACCGGACAUGACCUUCUCCUGCAUGGGGGAGGGUGGAAAGUUUUUCGGCCAGGGAGGGGCUCGCGGCCUAUCAGCUUGUGGGGGGUAACGCCACCAAGGCGACGACGGGUA
rnacentral:rRNA from 1 species